UACGGGGGGGGCAAGCGUUGUUCGGAAUUACUGGGCGUAAAGGGCUCGUAGGUGGCCAACUAAGUCGGACGUGAAAUCCCUCGGCUUAACCGGGGAACUGCUUCCGAUACUGGUUGGCUUGAGUUUGGGAGAGGGAUGCGGAAUUCCAGGUGUAGCGGUGAAAUGCGUAGAUAUCCGGAAGAACACCGGUGGCGAAGGCGGCCUGCUGGGACGUGGCUGACGCUGAGGCGCGACAGCGUGGGGAGCAAACAGG
rnacentral:rRNA from 1 species